ensembl:lncRNA
UUAGUUCAGCAUAUGGGAUCUCUCAGCAAAUGGACAUUCCUUUUUAACAGAAAUGCUUCACCUGGGAAAUACUCCAAAUUGCCCAUUUUACUUUGUCCUCUGCUGCAGGGCAAAACGACAUGAACACCUCCUGUUGAUUUCCUAUUUCCCGCUUUUAAAGAACCAGUGUUCUUGGUAUUGCUAUAUAAAGCGUAUGAAUUACUACAUUUUUUUCUCAGAAAACAAGAAAAAUCAAACACUUCUUGUUUAAAACUCCUUGAGAGGAAAGCUGCCUGUGCAGGGAACAAAACCAGGCAUAUAGGAGUGUUUACCAGCUUUAACAGCUGCCUUCCAUUUUAAUGAAACAACAAAAAAAAUACUUUAAUCUACAAUGAAUGAAAAAGUGUAAUUCAGCUCUGAAAAAGGACUAGAAUGGCAAAGUGUCUGAUGCUGAUCAUUCACUUAACUAACUUUACAAGCAAAAAAUGUUUCAGGUGAUUACCAAGGCUUCAUCCUAUUCUGGGACACUGCAUUCAGGUUGUUCCCACUCUCGCAUGUCAUUCAGAAUAACAAAAUCCUACAGGUCAAAUUUAACUGCCUGCUUCUUUACACAUUCCCUUUAUACUCAGCACAGUCAAAACCAAAAAGCAAAGCAAAAGAAGAUCCAGACUUUGAAUCAGAAGUUAAUAGUUCUGCCUAAGGUGCAACAGCCAGAGAACAGGGUUCUGCUCUUUCCUCAACCAGUUCAAUACUGCCUUAUUAAAAAAUAAUGAUGGGAUUAGUUGUUAAUAGGAAAAAAUCUGAUUAUCAGGAAAGCUGACUGAGUACAGUCACCUCUUCAAUAUAAAACUAUGCUUUAACCAACGUGUAUGAGCUACACAAUACCUGUGGAAAUGUGCAUACUAAGUAUGUACAAAAACAUCCACUGUGCUUACCCAUAGAACAGCAGGACCCUUCCCCCAGUGCAGGUCAGAAGCAGCGCACUGAGCUAUGUUGAAACUUGUGUAUAAGCAGCCAGUCAGUUGAAAUGACUGGUGGUGUUCUAUGCAAAACCGAAUUCCCAGGUUUUAGAUCUAGGAAUGCAAGCUUCAAGAACUGCAGACUGCCCAAGCUAAUCCAGUCAUCACUUCUACAAUAAUUAUACAGGAAAUGUUGUGAUUAUUAGCACCAAUAAAGAGAAAAACUUCAGAAGAUUUUCUUUAACGCUGCAUUUUAGAGAUAAUGUGCUUUGCUUUAAUAUCCAGUUAAAACGUCAAGGAAAUCCGAAAUAUGGAAGAGUGUAAUUCAAUACCAGCUCAACAGAUUUUGGCAGUGUAAAAUCCACUGUUGGCACACUGUUCAGCAGAGCCAUUUUUACAGGAAAACAUCUUUCAUCUAUUUAUAAAAAGCCUGAGGUUGAUUAAGAGAUGCAACAUUGCAAGCCUUCCUAAACUUUGCUCUUGUAGGUGAGUAUCUAUUAUAUUCACUGUAAUAAAAAGGACAUGUUGAAGUACCCUGCACUGCAGUAAAUUUAUAAGACUGGAUGCAGCACAUGAGACUUUCCGGUUGAAGUUGCAAAAGUGCUCAGUGGCUCACCUUACUCAUUAACUAUGUGCUACACAUAGUUAAUGCAGAGAAUGUGGAGAAUGUAGAGAAACAGAGAAGAACCAUGGCAUAUUAAGAACAAAUGUACAGCAAUAAACUAAUACUCAGUAAAAACCACAA